UGCGUGUAAAAAUUUGGUUUUUUUUAAUUACAACUGAGCUAGCUAGAGGUAAAAUACGAUAGCAAAAAAGCAUCUGAUUAUGCCAAAAAGGGAAAAACACCUUACAAAAAAUGGACUAGCUAUAAAGUUGAACCAAUUUGUACUAAAUUGUUCGAUUCUUAUGAUGCUGCUUAUAGGGCAGAAUCUGUUUUAUUGGAAAAAUCUGACUUAGAAUCAACCGACAUAGAAGCGAUCAACAACCCCACACAGGUAUUAGAUAAAAAAAGACGAAAAAAUAAACGUGUAAUUCCAAAUUGUACCAGUGCUAGAGAUGAAAGUGAGCUAUCUUCUAGUGAAAAUGAGAGUGCCGUUAUUGAUCUUAAUCUACCCCCUGCUCCUGAUACAACACUAAUAACUAUUAACGAAACUGUAUCAACUGAAGAUCCAGCGAAUUAUAUUCCCGUAUACGUGAAUAAUAAUGAGCCUGAAACGGAUUUAGGUAAUAAUGGCAUUUACAAAGAAACACCCUCCGAAACACGCAUUGAAACAAACUCAAUUGAUAUAACUGACAUCAAUGAUGUUCCAUUGUCAUUAGCCACUGAAAGACAAGUUAAUGAUAUAAAAGAACUAAUUAUUGCACAAAAUACCAAAAUAGAAAAUCUUAUAGCACUGGUAAAUGAUAUGUCUAAACAAUUUAAAUAACUUAAACGGGGUAAUGAGAAAAAUACUGACGCUAAUGUGACAACAGCAACGAGAUGGAAUUUUCCAAUGCAGACCAUUGAUGAUAUUAAGAAGCUUGACGAAAGUUUGAAAAGUGGAGAUGAUGAUAGUGUGAAAGAAUUUAAAUGUUUUAUUCUUCAACUUGGGGGAACUACUUUAAAAACAACAAUUAAAUUUAUAAUCAAAGAACUAUAUUCUAUAGAAUUACAACAAAAUCUAAAUUACUCUGGACGGGAGAAUAAGUUUUCUACAAAAGAUUUAGUUCAAACAAAAUUAAUCCUUGAAGCAAUGCAACACAAUACACGUAGAACUCAGGUUGAGGCUAUCAACGAAUACAUGUAUCACAUGCAGCAUGUAACUGAUCGGGUUCGAGCUAUGAUGAAGAAAAAUAAUAAAUAAAAAAAAUACAUGUAUUUUCUUUUAAUAAAAAUACUUGCCUAUAAACGUAGCAAAGUGUG